rnacentral:rRNA from 1 species
GGCCGCGUCGACGGGACCUUCGGGCCUUGCGCUAUCAGAUGAGCCUAGGUCGGAUUAGCUAGUUGGUGAGGUAAUGGCUCACCAAGGCGACGAUCCGUAACUGGUCUGAGAGGAUGAUCAGUCACACUGGAACUGAGACACGGUCCAGACUCCUACGGGAGGCAGCAGUGGGGAAUAUCGGACAAUGGGCGAAAGCCUGAUCCAGCCAUGCCGCGUGUGUGAAGAAGGUCUUUGGAUUGUAAAGCACUUUAAGUUGGGAGGAAGGGCAGUUACCUAAUACGUGAUUGUUUUGACGUUACCGACAGAAUAAGCACCGGCUAACUCUGUGCCAGCAGCCGCGGUAAUACAG